GCGGAGGUGCCCGAGCCUGGUCAAAGGGGGCGGACUUAAGACCUCUAAGUAAGAGAUCCGCUGGCGUAGGCCUGCAUGGGUUCAAAUCCCACCCUCCGCA
rnacentral:tRNA from 1 species